rnacentral:rRNA from 1 species
GUGGGGAAUAUUGCACAAUGGGCGCAAGCCUGAUGCAGCGACGCCGCGUGAGGGAUGACGGCCUUCGGGUUGUAAACCUCUUUCAAUAGGGACGAAGCGUAAGUGACGGUACCUAUAGAAGAAGCACCGGCCAACUACGUGCCAGCAGCCGCGGUAAUACGUAGGGUGCGAGCGUUGUCCGGAAUUACUGGGCGUAAAGAGCUCGUAGGUGGUUUGUCGCGUUGUUCGUGAAAACUCACAGCUUAACUGUGGGCGUGCGGGCGAUACGGGCAGACUGGAGUACUGCAGGGGAGACUGGAAUUCCUGGUGUAGCGGUGGAAUGCGCAGAUAUCAGGAGGAACACCGGUGGCGAAGGCGGGUCUCUGGGCAGUAACUGACGCUGAGGAGCGAAAGCGUGGGGAGCGAACAGGAUUAGAAACCCCAGUAGUCC